rnacentral:tRNA from 1 species
GUGCCCUUGGCCGAGCGGCAGAGGUGCCAGCCUUCCAAGCUGGACAGGCGGGUUCAACUCCCGCAGGGCACU